ensembl:snoRNA
CUGGAGAUGAUGCAUUAAAACCACCUGACUGUCUCUGAUGGUGUUUGUAUUCAUACUGUCUGAUCCGG